CCUCUGGUACUGUUAUUAGGGAGGUAAUUUUAUUGAACUCAAACGCAGUCAGCUUAUGCUGCAUUUUAAUCCUCUUUCAGGUUGGUAGCCUCUGAAUUUGAUCGGCAAGCUCACCACUCAAACCUUCUGAAAUGAAAAGGCUGAACAGCAGGAUCAGAAAAGCACUUCAAAGAAAAGCAUUUUGCAUACAAAUGAAGAGGCUUCUUGGAAAACGAAGACAGGGUCUACGUUACUGAGCCUUACAAUAUGCUAAUUUCCUUGGUUUUAAAGAUGCUAAGGGAAUCCUUUCAAGAGAGAAGAAACGGAGAGGACUCCAAAUAAGUUCAAUGAUCCAAUAAAGUCAAGUAAAAGCUUACAGUAAUGUUCUCAUUAACCCUUUCCAGAUGAGUCAGUCAAUGAGCUUUGAGGGCAUUGAAUCCCAUAAGCAGAACAUUUCAA